rnacentral:rRNA from 1 species
UGCGUAGGCGGCUCUUUAAGUCAGUGGUGAAAUCUUGCCGCUUAACGGUAAAAUUGCCAUUGAUACUGAAGAGCUUGAGUACAGUUGAGGUAAGCGGAAUGUGUAGUGUAGCGGUGAAAUGCUUAGAUAUUACACAGAACACCAAUUGCGAAGGCAGCUUACUAAACUGUUACUGACGCUGAUGCACGAAAGCGUGGGGAGCGAACAGGAUUAGAUACCCUGGUAGUCCACGCCGUAAACGAUGCUCACUCGCUGUUUGCGAUACACAGCAAGCGGCCAAGCGAAGGCAUUAAGUGAGCCACCUGGGGAGUACGAUCGCAAGGUUGAA